GCUAACAUGAAAAAGACCUGACUUCCCUUUCUUCCUUUAAGUUGAAUCAAGUGAACUUUCAGGCAGGCACCAGGGUAAAGCCUGCCUGCCAAUUCUUUGUAAACAGUGAGGCUUCCUGCAGUGUUAUGGGCUGUCGGGGGAGAAGGCAUUGUGAACUAGCACCCAUUGUGACGGUCUACAAGGUGAGAAGUCGAUUAUCCCACCUAGGGUGCCAGGAGCAGGAGUGAAAGGUCAGACACAGGGCCAGGAAUAAUUGCCUGACACAGGGACAGUCCGCAGGGAAUACCAGGAGCCCCCUGGGCAAGAGACCGAGCAAUGGAGUCCCUGGGAGCAGCAAUAACCUGCUGGGACUAGAACAUCUGAGCAUGGUUCCCUCUCAUUCCUGCAAAAGGCUGUUCCUUUUGCACAUUACACUCAGAGUUACAAAGUUCAGCUGUCCUUGCCAGCUUCUCCUCUGGCGGGACAUGCUCUUUCUCAGCUGACCAUCAACAAAUCCAUCCUAGGUGUUAGCCUCUGACAGUGCCCUAAAGGUUCCCUCCAGUCAAGGACAGCCUGGUGACCAGGCGCCCAGCCUCACAGCCCCAAAGGCAUGAACUAUGGAUGGCGGAAUCUCAGACAGAGGCCCUCCUUGUUAGCAUCGCCCCCACUGCCCAGCCCCCAUGGGUGCAAGCAACCACCAGAGGAUCUCAGCCACUCAGCAGAAGCCGAAGCAAUUGGAUUGCAGAAAUCCAUGAAAAAGAAUGGAUUUUCUUACUGCACUCAGAGUCUUUAAUUUCCUGUGUUUGCCCCCAAAGGGCUUUUUCAUCGACAAAGCACUUGGUUCUGUGGGCAGUGCGGUUGAAGAGAAGCUGCUGAUGGAGAGAUUAGCGAUCAGGGACAUGCAGGGGCUGGUGUGCUGGGAGGAUGGCUCUGAUGAAGCAGUAGGAGAGCCCAACCCAGCCUGGGUUAGGGGCAGGGGUGCCCCAAACGGCCAAGAGUGGGCAGACUCAGAACAGAAGCCAGGUUGGGCUGCAGUCAGGAGCCAGGUGGCAGUGAGCAAGUUGCCAAACCAGAAACAAGUGCUUUUGAAAACGGAUUCCUAGGGACCUUUCAAAUCAGCUGAGAGAGACAGUGGGAGUUAGGGAUGGGGGCCAGCUGGAACGUUCUAGAGCCAGAGUCAGGACACAAGAAGCUCAGAUCAGAGUCUGUGCCCAUCCCUCCCCAUGUGUUCUGAACUCCAGACUCUGUCAGAGCCCUGAGCUGAAUUCGUGGGCUGUUGCAAGGAGGAGAAACUUCUCCCCUAGGAGAAGGAACAGGAACAACUUGGGGAAGAUAGGGCUGAUGGGUUUAUGAGAGAGCAGGGGGAAAAAAAGAUUUUCUGUCUUCAACUGUAAGAAGGAUGUGUAUGAAGGGUCUCCUCAGCUUAGCUAUAGAGAAGAACUAUAGGCUCACUUUGAAGCAGUUAAUAUUAUAGUCAGACAUAUGGAAGGACUUCCUGACUACCAAAUUAAUGAGCUGCCUGGGUCACCCUUCCCACACCCCAUGCACUUCUCACCUUAGCUGAGGCCACUUGACACGGCCCCUCCCUGCUCUUUUCAGGAACCAUGGAUUCCUAGUUCCAGGGACUCAGCGUGAAUCUGGCCAGCCUGCAGGGUUCCAGCCCAGGCAUGAGCCCAGACCUCCUGCCUUGGGCCAGUGAGUUCUGCGAUCUUGCUACAACCGGCCAGAAGCUCACAGGCUCUCCAGGGAGCCUGAAAACUGACCACACCCUGCUUCUUAAGAUAUCUUCUCCUCCUGCCUGGUUCUCCUCUCGCCUCCCUGGCUUCUCCCUCUCAGCCUCUCAUUCGGAUUCCUUCUCCGUGGCUCACCCUGUCAAUGUUGUGUGCUCCAGGGCUCAGCCCAAGCAACCUUCUCUCCAAUGUCUGCACUCUCCCUAGGUGAUCGCAUCGCCCCCCAGGGCUUUAAAUUCCCUCUAUCUGUUGCUGACCCCCAAGUAUCUAUCUCCACCCCAGAUGCCUCCCCACACAUCCAACUGUCUUCUUACAUCUCUAGUUGGAUGUCUACAGUCAUCUCAAACUUAGCAGGACCAACGCACAACACCUGAGCUCCUCUUCUGAGCCUGCAUCCUCCUCCAGCUUCCCUAUCUUGGUGACCAACAUCACCUUCCACCUGCUGUUCAAAGCAGUGAACAUUAGUGAGCAUUCUUGAUACCUUCCAUUCCCUUACCACUUGCCUAUGCCCACUCUGUCAGGGAAUCCUGGGGAGACCCAGUGGAUCCUGAAUCAUCCCACUUCUGUCCGACUCCAUCUUGACCACCAUGACCCGCCAUAUCCUAAUGGGGUGUAGUUAAGCACCCAGAUUCUGGAG
ensembl:lncRNA